GUGUACUUAAUUAGGAGCCAGUGAACCUGAGGGAAACCAUAGAAGGGGAGAAUUUUGCUUUCCUGCUUUCCCACAGGCCAUCCUUCUGAAUUCUGGGGCCCCUUUUCAUCAGGUAAGGCCCUUUUGGACCCCAAACCAAGAGCUGCACAGACAUAUAGUAAAGGGAGCAGAUCCUCUCCUUCCCUCUUGAAUAGGCAAAGAGGAACCUGGUACUAAAAAGCAGUGGGGGGUGCCCAGUAAAGUUUGAGCCUGGAAACCCAGGUAGCCAAGGGCACCAAGCCUUCUGCCCAGAGACAGGACUCAACGUCUUCCUAUACCACCUCCAAAGUGACCCUACUCACCAUGCAGGUCCUUGAGUUCUCCCCGAUAAAGGAGUCCCUCAGCACCUGUGUCAGCUUGCUCUCUCGAAAUGGGGUGUGAGCCUUGUUCUGUCCCAGGGCCCUGAUGCACUCCUGUGGGGCAGCAGGAGCCACUGAGGUCCCUUUCUUCCUCUUGAGUUGCCCAUUCCCUCCCUCUCUCCCUCCCUCCACCAGCAGUCCUCCAGGCCAACCACCUGUUUAGGCCCUGCUACCUUCAGAGCCAGGAGACUCUUGUUGAUUUCUGCACCCUCCAUGCGAGUCUGCCGGUCAGCACUGGAAGUGUCCGCACCUCUCUCAUUCCCUGCCAGAUCCACCAAAGAGAACUUGCCAUGCACUCUCCCUUUGGCCCGAAGAAGAAUCUGGAAGCAGGCAUGGGAGCGGGAAGAGUUGGAGUUGGCAAAUGUCUGCCCAGAAGUCCUGUGGCAAAGGAGGGCAAAGAAAGGUUAUGAGCCACUGUGGCUCCCCAGAGUUCAAGCCACCCCACUCCACAGCACUGAGUUCUCUGUACAAAGGACACAGGUCAAGACUCUAAGCAGUCCUGUGUUUUCUUAUCCCAGAUUUCUGUUUUGCCCUUCCUGGGCAGCAGCUUUCCCUCUACCUCCAGAUCUGGCAAGUUUUCCUGCAGUGAAAGUACUAGAUUCUGUGCUAGGCCUUAGCCAGCCCAGAGGGCCCAAAAGCACAUGGGGAAGGGGAGUUGCCUGUGUUGCAGGGCACAUGAGGAGGAGGGGUUGUCAUGAACCACUUGUGAAAGCUUGAGAGGCUUGGAGAGGGCAACCCCCUCCCUGGGCCUCCAUAAGCCACCCAGCAUUCCACUGCACCAUGCCUGGUGGAAGAGCACUUCCCUACCUCUGUAUAGAAGCUAUGACCCCAUCCCUUCCAGCCCAGACUAGAUCCAGAGCUUGUCUCCUACCACAGAGGGAGGGGACAGCAAGAAGAAACCUAGAGAAGUCAGGAAGGAUGAUUUGGGGUAAGGACCUGGAAAUAAAGUCUACCUUGGUUAGAUUUAAGACACUUGCUCCUGAUGAGCCUCUUGCCCUGGGUCAUCUGCCCUAUUGAGAGUCCUUACGGCAGAGGCCCUCACAGCCCUCACCAAGCUGCAGAGAGUGGCGCUCUGUGGAAACAGCAAUGGGCUCAGAGCGGGGGUCUAUCACCUGAACCGGGCAUUAGGUGGCCCCUUCCCCUCACCAGAACUCUGACCUGCAGGCACUGCCUAUGUCGAUCAUCUUGAUGACAUCGUCAGCACAGCUAACCAGAUGCUCCUGUAGCCCCACCACCUGCACCUGCUGCUUGCCGUCCUCCAGCACGCGCAGCUUAGCUUUCUUGUUGAGCAGAUCAAACAGCUGUGCCAAGCAGGGGAACAAGGAUAAGGCCAUUAGGUCCUGGACACCCUACCUACACCCCCUCCUUCAGGGCCUGUCCCAGCUUAGAUAAGAGCUGGCAGCAGAGAAGGCAGAGAGAAGCUAAGCUGGGUGGCGGGCAGUACACUUGAA
rnacentral:lncRNA from 1 species